ACCGCAGUCCAGCAUUGGUCGUGCCAUCAGUUAACCCUUCGCGUGCCAGCUGUGGCACGCGUGCCGAGGGUUGCCGACCCCUGUGCUAUACAGUGGGCCCUACACUUUAUUUCAAAAUAAAACAGGACCAGGAGAGUUCAUCCUCACGUGGACGCCAUCUGAGAGCGAAACGGGAGAAAGCCAACCCAUCUGUUUUGUUGUCCAGGCAGUUUCUGGUAUAGCGAAGUAUCACUCUGACUUUCGAUGCGUCAUUGUGACUGUUGAAAAGGUUUAUGUCGCUGCCCUGAGUGCGAGGAUCUCUUUUUCAUUGCCUUUUACUGCAGACAACGUUAACAGUGUCAUCAUACAGAAGAUUAAAGAAGAACUGGAGAAACAAGGUCUGCCGCCAGAUGCGAGUCUACGCCUAGUGAGAGGAGACCAAAUAUAAAAAACAACCACACCGCCCUCUCACUACACAUGAGUGCACAGCUCAAUAGCCUGAGAGUGUUUCUCCUGGGUGUUAUAAUGUGACACUUCUCAGGGUGAUUAUGUUUAUUAUCUGCACUCUGUUCAGAAAAAUAAAUACCAGAUUAUGAGCAUAUUUGGCAUUUGAGUCUGUAACUCUGUUUUAAUAACAGAUGUAAACUGAUCAGACUUGUACCUGAAAUGUUUUUCUCCAGUUUUUAAAAUGUAAUUUUUUAAAGAAUAUUUUUUAUUGUAUGGCAUUGGUUUCAGUUGAUUAUGUGUUGCAUGUGUAUAUCUGGUGGAUUUCAUGUAUAAGUAACUGCACUUUGCAGCAUCUUUCUCUAACUUCUUUAAUCACUGUGAGGCUCUCUUCUGCAUGUGAAAUGAAUUAAACUGGGCCUUGAGUGUUACAAUAA